rnacentral:rRNA from 1 species
UACAGAGGGGGCAAGGCGUUAUUCGGAAUUAUUGGGCGUAAAGGGCGCGUAGGCGGCUUUUCAAGUGACGGGUGAAAUCCCUCGGCUUAACCGAGGAACUGCCUGUCAGACUGGAAGGCUUGAGACCGGGAGAGGUGAGUGGAAUUCCCAGUGUAGCGGUGAAAUGCGUAGAUAUUGGGAGGAACACCAGUGGCGAAGGCGGCUCACUGGACCGGAACUGACGCUGAGGCGCGAAAGCGUGGGGAGCAAACAGG